AAAUGAAUUGACGGGGGCCCGCACAAGCGGUGGAGCAUGUGGUUUAAUUCGAUGCAACGCGAAGAACCUUACCUGGUCUUGACAUCCACGGAAGUUUUCAGAGAUGAGAAUGUGCCUUCGGGAACCGUGAGACAGGUGCUGCAUGGCUGUCGUCAGCUCGUGUUGUGAAAUGUUGGGUUAAGUCCCGCAACGAGCGCAACCCUUAUCCUUUGUUGCCAGCGGUCCGGCCGGGAACUCAAAGGAGACUGCCAGUGAUAAACUGGAGGAAGGUGGGGAUGACGUCAAGUCAUCAUGGCCCUUACGACCAGGGCUACACACGUGCUACAAUGGCGCAUACAAAGAGAAGCGACCUCGCGAGAGCAAGCGGACCUCAUAAAGUGCGUCGUAGUCCGGAUUGGAGUCUGCAACUCGACUCCAUGAAGUCGGAAUCGCUAGUAAUCGUGGAUCAGAAUGCCACGGUGAAUACGUUCCCGGGCCUUGUACACACCGCCCGUCACACCAUGGGAGUGGGUUGCAAAAGAAGUAGGUAGCUUAACCUUCGGGAGGGCGCUUACCACUUUGUGAUUCAUGACUGGGGUGAAGUCGUAACAAGGUAACC
rnacentral:rRNA from 1 species